AGUUUGUUUAUUGCUCUAAAAAGUAUGUUUACUGUUUAACAAUGUACAGAAUGAAAACAGCUUUUAUCACAUAUUCAUAAAUCACCAAUACAAUUACAAAUACAGUUUAACUUACACAAAAUGAUCAUUAAUCACAAAUAGUUAUAAUACAGUUCAUCUGUAUACACAAAAUAUUCAUUAAUCAACAAUAUGGUAAAUAUACAGUUUCUCUUGCAGAAAAUAUACAUGUAUGGUUUAUUGUGUAAAAAUAGUUGAUGGUUUUCUAUGUAAUGCAUUUAUGUGUAUUAUGCAUCUGAUGCUAUAAUUCAUGCUUAUCAAAACAAAAUGUAAAAUAUGCAAGUUAUAACCUAUUUGAUUUUUGAGAUUCAAAAAUAGCAGAUCACUACUAAAACAGAUCACUGUUUCAAGAGACAAAAAUGUUAAGUAAUAUAUAUAUAUAUAUAUAUAUAUUCUCCUCAUCACAAUACUGGGUUACAGUAAUCUGUCAAACAUCAACUUCACAGUAAAAGUGAAAAUAUAAGUUUAGACUGUAGUUACUUAAUGACUGCAUCUUUCCAUUAUAUAAAUGCCAUCAAUAAUUUCUCCCCAAUACACUUACUAUAGCCUUUAUUAAGAUAAAAAAAAUAUCCCUCACCUUAUCAUUCAGAUAUUUUGUAGGUAUUGAAACAUAAGAUUUUUCUUUGGUUUUCAUAAAACAAAAACAUGAGACAUUAUGGUUUGAGACCAUUAUAAAUCUGACAAGAUCAAGCACUAUUAUAAUAUCACAGAAAACUAUUGGAAUAAAAUGUCAGACAGAGAAAUCCUUAAUAUGGUAACUACUCUUAAGCUAGCUUACUAAAAGGUAAUAUGCAAUGCUUUCUGAAUAUGUGCAUGUAUGUACUUUUCCAGAACAAUUGGAUUUACCGUUAUUCAGCUAAUAUUGUCACAAUAACUUUGCUUUAAAUACUCUUUUGUUGAAACUUUAAAGCAUUAAAUAUUAAGUAUUCCAAAUUGCUGACACAGUAUAUUUGAUUGCUUGUUAUGUUCAAAUGCAUGGACAAAAGGAAGGAACGCUUAUAGGAAAGGAUAUUAAUUAACUACUAAACAUUAAAACAGCUCAAAGUAGGUUAGAAAAGGUGAGAAUGCACUUUUGUAAUUUCAGUAGAUAAAGUCAACUAAAGUCUCUUAAACAAUAUAAAUAUACAAUCAUCACAAAACAUUAGGAUAUAACACACUAAACGAGAUGUACAAAAUGUAGACAAAAUUUUAAAAUCAUCAUUUAUAAACUGAUAGAAUAUUAGAGAUUGCUUUACUCUGUGAAGAUUAACUAUAUAGAAAUCUUAAAGUUCGAUAAAGUGCUGAAGUUGCAUUGAAUAUGAAGGAAAUGUUGAAUUUCACUAUUACAUUCAUGCUAGACAAUCUUUUAAUCAUUGACAAAACUAUCAUGAAAAGUUAGUAUUAAAAGGAUGAUACAAAAGUUAUGAUAAACACAUGCAAUAAUAUCUGAAUUUACAGUUAGACAUGCUUAAAACUAAAACCAGAGGGAUAUGAAAAGAAUAAAACAAAAAUUACCUGUGUGAGGUAGUUCAACAGAUCAAAAUAUCAACAUAUAUCACAUAUAAUAUCAAUCAUCACAUCAAUAAUCAGAUAUACUCAAUAAACAAUUCUAAUGCAACAACGUUUGUAACGUUCAUUUUGAUUGGAUAACGUCACUUUUUUACAUGGCAUCAAUUGACAAUUGAUGCUAUGGGACGAACGCGCAAGCGCAGACGGCAUAUGACAGAUUUUAAUUACAUGUUUUAACGUUGUUUUCUGUCAGUUUCAUUAGAAUGGAGAUAACAAUAUUGUAUUUUAAGCUCCGACGGCAUCAAUUAGGGAUUUGAUGGUCGCAAAUACCUGUUUACUGUCUCCGCUAACGCGUCGCCAGUAAACUUAAUUUGCGACCAUCAAAUCCCCAAUUGAUACCGUCGGAGCUUAAAAUACAAUACAGUUAUCUCCUAAAUAUCAUCUCAUUUACCAUCAGUAUGACAUGUGAAAUGAGCUGCAGUAAAUACUGUAAACCAAAUGAUUUUGGCAAGCCAUUGAUUUAUUUACCGAAAUUUCGCAGGUAAUAAAUUACGCCAUUAUAAAUUAGCAAGA
rnacentral:lncRNA from 1 species